CGAAACAAGACUGAAGUAUCCUGCUCCCUUCAGACACAGUCAGAGCCGUAGAGGAGCUGAAAGCAGAGGGGAUCCCAUUCUUGCAGCGUGACACGUGACCACCUGUUCACCUUCACUGUCAGUCAUCCUACCUGUCCAGCUACCCACACAGAUUCCACUAAUCUUUCACCUACAGUGAAAGCAAGUGAAUUUACCCACACACCGCUACUGUUCUGGACUCCCAAGACUGGCCACCCAUCUCUGAAUUUGUCUUAGGAUUUGACCAGUGUGAGACUUGGGCAUGGGACAUAUGAGCUUCUCGACAACGCAGAAUGGUUCUGGGCA